UGUUCUGUAGUUUAGUUAGUUAAAGCGCCGGACUAGCGAUAGCGAAGUCGUGGGUUCGAAGCCCACCAAAAUAA
rnacentral:tRNA from 1 species